CAGUGAAUCAUCGAAUCUUUGAACGCACCUUGCGCCCCUUGGCAUUCCGAGGGGCACACCCGUUUGAGUGUCGUGAAAUCCUCAAAAAUCCUUUUUGGGCUUACUGAAAAGGAUUUUUGGACUUGGAGGUUUAAUGCUUGCCUUUCACCUGUGAAAGUGAGCUCCUCUCAAAUGAAUUAGUGGGGUCCGCUUUGCCCGAUCCUUGACGUGAUAAGAUGUUUCUACGUUUUGGAUUUUGGCACUGUCCCUUGGAUGCCUGCUUCUAACUGUCUCAUGGACAAUGGAUGGUGCUCCGGUCCCUUGCCUUCUAACGUUGGCGGGGAGGCUGGACCCACGAAUGAAAACCUUGACCUCAAAUCGGGUGAGACUACCCGCUGAACUUAAGCAUAUCAAUAAGCGGAGGAAAAGAAACUAACAAGGAUUCCCCUAGUAACUGCGAGUGAAGCGGGAAAAGCUCAAAUUUAAAAUCUGGUGGCCUUUGGUCAUCCGAGUUGUAAUUUAGAGAAGCGUCUUCCGCGCUGGACCGUGCACAAGUCUCCUGGAACGGAGCGUCAUAGAGGGUGAGAAUCCCGUCUUUGGCACGGACAUGCCAGGGCUUUUGUGAUGCGCUCUCGAAGAGUCGAGUUGUUUGGGAAUGCAGCUCAAAAUGGGUGGUGAACUCCAUCUAAAGCUAAAUAUUGGCGAGAGACCGAUAGCGAACAAGUACCGUGAGGGAAA
rnacentral:rRNA from 1 species